UUCAUGACUGGGGUGAAGUCGUAACAAGGUAGCCGUAGGGGAACCUGCGGCUGGAUCACCUCCUUAAUCGACGA
rnacentral:rRNA from 1 species